rnacentral:rRNA from 1 species
ACUCCUACGGGAGGCAGCAGUAGGGAAUCCUCCACAAUGGGCGCAAGCCUGAUGGAGCAACACCGCGUGAGUGAAGAAGGGUUUCGGCUCGUAAAGCUCUGUUGUUAAAGAAGAACACGUAUGAGAGUAACUGUUCAUACGUUGACGGUAUUUAACCAGAAAGUCACGGCUAACUACGUGCCAGCAGCCGCGGUAAUACGUAGGUGGCAAGCGUUAUCCGGAUUUAUUGGGCGUAAAGAGAGUGCAGGCGGUUUUCUAAGUCUGAUGUGAAAGCCUUCGGCUUAACCGGAGAAGUGCAUCGGAAACUGGAUAACUUGAGUGCAGAAGAGGGUAGUGGAACUCCAUGUGUAGCGGUGGAAUGCGUAGAUAUAUGGAAGAACACCAGUGGCGAAGGCGGCUACCUGGUCUGCAACUGACGCUGAGACUCGAAAGCAUGGGUAGCGAACAGGAUUAGAUACCCUGGUAGGAUAGCG